UACGUAGGGCGCAAGCGUUGUCCGGAAUUAUUGGGCGUAAAGAGCUCGUAGGCGGUUUGUCGCGUCUGGUGUGAAAACUCAAGGCUCAACCUUGAGCUUGCAUCGGGUACGGGCAGACUAGAGUGUGGUAGGGGUGACUGGAAUUCCUGGUGUAGCGGUGGAAUGCGCAGAUAUCAGGAGGAACACCGAUGGCGAAGGCAGGUCACUGGGCCACUACUGACGCUGAGGAGCGAAAGCGUGGGGAGCGAACAGG
rnacentral:rRNA from 1 species